UAGAUCGAGUAUAAAUAUGCUGAGAUUUCACAGGUGCACUCUCCACGCUCUCUUAAUCUCACGCUUUGCUCAUUCUCAGAUCUUACUCAUCAUCUUACUCGAUGGCUAUGACGAAGGUUUUCUUUUCCGAUCUCAAGUCUGGGCGUUGUUCAUCCGUUGUUGAGCACGCUUUGUUUUUAAUUUGUUAUCAAGCUUUUCUGAUUAUUUUUUUGUUUGCCAUAUGAACAGGCGACCAUGAUGCCGGUGACGGUGAAUGUAAACCGGUUUGCAACUCACAUGCCUAAUACAUCUCCAGCUUUAACCUAUGCAGCCUGCUACAACACGUCAUGGAUCCUCAGGUUACAUGUAUGGCAACGAGUAGAUAGGGAUUAACGAAUGAUCAUAAUAUGUGACAACCCAGGUCAUGUUUUUCUUUUUCAGGUCUCUCUGUUUGUUCUAUUACUGUGAAUCUGAUAUAAAUUUUGCAAUAAUCACUCUUUGUUUGGAUCUUCUGUUCAUAGGUACAUCCCUGUUCUACGGAAAACUGAAUAAAGCCACAAAUUACAAAAGAGGAAUAAGAAAGUGAUCCAAAUCUCCAGAGAGGUGAUUCUGGCCAUGUAGAUGUAACACCUCGAAACCCCCUCUUUUGUAAAGAUUAUGCGUCAAUUUUGCUCAAGUUCAUGUUUUCAGAUGUUUGGUUUGUGAAUCAUACUACACCUAUAAAAUAGGCCAAGCACCAAAAAAGUUGGAGACAAGCCACUUCUAUCUGUUCCAAUAUUUGUCCAGGCAGCCUGGAACAAUGUGCUUCUUGCUGUUCCAGCCCUGUUAUAUGCAAUCGAAAACUAUAUCAGGUUCACGGUGCUAUUACUGUAGCCAGUGUAGCUGCAUCUGUUGCUGCUAUUGCAGCCACCACCACCACGUCUUCUAUCUCUAAAAGGGAUGAGCAGAUGGCUAAAAAUUGCCAUGGACGUUGCUUCCGCUGCGAUCCUUGCGGUUGCUCAGUGUAUGGAGGCUGCUGAAGUGAGUAGAGCUGAGAGAGCAUUUGGUCUAUGUUGUCAGCGCUGCCAUCAAUGUUCGUUCUGCCGGAGAUAUCUGACACUCACUGCCGGUGAGCCACAAGUUUAGUAGCUUCAAAAAUCUGUAUUUUGGUAGUCUUAGGUUUUUUAAAAGAAUUAUUUUGAUCAAGAAAUUCAAUUCUUUUGAUUUUAUGUGAGACAUGCUUAGUACUGGCAAUUUAAAUCAUCUAACUUCAAACAAAGUUUUAAAUCAUAAUGAAUGAUAACACUUUUAUAGAUC